rnacentral:rRNA from 1 species
CCUACGGGAGGCAGCAGUGGGGAAUAUUGGACAAUGGGCGAAAGCCUGAUCCAGCCAUGCCGCGUGUGUGAAGAAGGCCUUCGGGUUGUAAAGCACUUUCAGUGGGGAAGAAAGCCUUGGGGCUAAUACCCUCGAGGAAGGACAUCACCCACAGAAGAAGCACCGGCUAACUCCGUGCCAGCAGCCGCGGUAAUACGGAGGGUGCGAGCGUUAAUCGGAAUUACUGGGCGUAAAGCGCGCGUAGGCGGUCUGAUAAGCCGGUUGUGAAAGCCCCGGGCUCAACCUGGGAACGGCAUCCGGAACUGUCAGGCUAGAGUGCAGGAGAGGAAGGUAGAAUUCCCGGUGUAGCGGUGAAAUGCGUAGAGAUCGGGCGGAAUCCCAGUUGCGAAGGCGGCCUUCUGGAUUGAAACUGACGCUGAGGUGCGAAAGCGUGGGUAGCAAACAGGAUUAGAUACCCCAGUAGUC